AACGAACGCUGGCGGCAUGCCUAACACAUGCAAGUCGAACGAGACCUUCGGGUCUAGUGGCGCACGGGUGCGUAACGCGUGGGAAUCUACCCUUGGGUUCGGAAUAACAGUUAGAAAUGACUGCUAAUACCGGAUGAUGACGUAAGUCCAAAGAUUUAUCGCCCAAGGAUGAGCCCGCGUAGGAUUAGCUAGUUGGUGAGGUAAAGGCUCACCAAGGCUACGAUCCUUAGCUGGUCUGAGAGGAUGAUCAGCCACACUGGGACUGAGACACGGCCCAGACUCCUACGGGAGGCAGCAGUGGGGAAUAUUGGACAAUGGGCGAAAGCCUGAUCCAGCAAUGCCGCGUGAGCGAUGAAGGCCUUAGGGUUGUAAAGCUCUUUUACCCGGGAUGAUAAUGACAGUACCGGGAGAAUAAGCCCCGGCUAACUCCGUGCCAGCAGCCGCAGUAA
rnacentral:rRNA from 1 species